CAGCUCCUUCCUCACUGUGGGGGGCAGUGGGGGGCACACUGCUCCUUGCCGACCCCCAUUUUCCUACCACGGAGCCCCAGUUGUGUUCAGAUGUCAGGCACAGAUCUUUGAGCAAAUCGACUUGUUACUUAUGCCCCUCUUUCUCCAGUGAGGAGCAAACCACAUGAGGAGGUGGGCUUCGUCCCCCAGCCCCACGGAGUGGAUCACAGUCAGUCCAGAUCCACCUGUGAUUGGCCCGGGAGCAGGUGCAUGCGCCAGUGUGGACCAAAGGGCUUCUGUGAGGGGACGUCUCCCAGAGAUUCUUUUAUCUGGCACAAUGAGGGGGUCUCUGAAAAAAAUGCUGUCCUGUCUUCCUGUGAGGGUGUGAUGGCUGGAGCCACAGCAACCACUGUGAGGUCCUGGGAUGACAAUCAGAGGACACAGGCAGGGAACGUGGUGCAGACAUGGAAGAGACGGCGUCACUGAGCCGCGGCGUUCAUCCCGCACCUGCCAGCGCGGUGGCGUGUUAUCCGGAAUGAAUGUGCUCCCGGAGGGCCAGGCGUGAAGGGCAGGGUCCUUCGAGGUCCCCACACAGCCGGCCCAGCUGAGUCUCAGGGGUCCCCUCAGGCUCGUCCACGCGCGUGUGACCUCCGUGCCGCCAGACUGCUACCCGUCCCCGCGGGGACCGCAGGUGGGGGUCACGGUGCCCCGACCCAGCCGGGACCGGCACGUUUCUGUCAUCUGUGGAGACGCUGUGCCCACUCUCAGGGUGGGGCUGCACCUUCCAGCGACGGCACCUGAGCCCAGAAACGUGACAGCAUCCUGCCUGUAAAUGCUCUUUUUUUUUCCCAAAUA